rnacentral:rRNA from 1 species
UACAGAGGGGGCAAGCGUUGUUCGGAAUUACUGGGCGUAAAGGGCGCGUAGGCGGCCUUCUAAGUCGAACGUGAAAUCCCUGGGCUCAACCCAGGAACUGCGUCCGAUACUGGAAGGCUUGAAUCCGGGAGAGGGAUGCGGAAUUCCAGGUGUAGCGGUGAAAUGCGCAGAUAUCGGGAGGAACACCAGUGGCGAAGGCGGCACUCUGGGCCGGAACUGACGCUGAGGAGCGAAAGCGUGGGGAGCGAACAGG